UGUAGAAUUGUGUCAUCAAUCUUCUAAGCCUCUGAGUCCAACAGAAGGUUUGAAUAUGCUGAGUGAAGGAAAGACUCUUGGUCCAGUAGAAGGUUUGCCAAAGCUAAUAACAUACAUGUGAGAAGCACGUGAGUUGGGGCAAUAGGAAUCAUCAUCUUCUGGGUAUAUCAUCGUCAUCUUCUCCGACGGAGAGUUAGUUACAGAAACAGAGCGAGAGCUCAAGAUGAGAGAGUGAGAGCGAUUGGGUUGGUGAGAGUGAGCUAGAGAGAGAUGUGAUUCUUGGUAUAUCUAGACUCAUAGACUUGUUCUUCUUCCUCAGUCUUGUAACUCAGAUUAGGUGUAAUCGAGAGAGGAAGAAGACGAGUGAACCUCCGGUGACGUACUCUGUAAUCACAUUGAUUAUAGUGGAUUGGCUGAGAGACCGUUUCUCUCCCCGGUGAUGUAUAGCGGCUUCUCCACAUCGGAGAAGUGCGGUGAACACCGGGUAAACAAAGUCUCGUGUGUUAUUUCUUUAUGCUUGAUUCAUGAUUGAUUAGAUUCGUUUAGGCUUGUGAUGAGUAUUGAUUAAAGCCAAGAUCACAUGAUGAAUCCUCAACAAAUGGUAUCAGAGCCUCGGUUUAGGCGAUUCAAGGAUUCAUCGGAAACAGAUCAAGAUCGGUUCUGAAGUAGAAUCGAAUAAGGAUCGGAGGAAGUUUCGAUCGCAUCGUUGUUGCGAGAGUGAAGAAUCAGUAGAUGUUGCAAGAGAUGAAAUGUCAAGAGCAAAGAAAGAAGAUGAAGACGUUGGCUCGUGGUAGACGACAACGUCGGAGACGGAGGAAAGGAAUCUCACGGAGGAAGACGCAACCGGUUCAGCUAGUUUAUGGUUUGUGGAAUCAGAUGGUUUUGUAAGUUAAUCUCUCUCAUCUCUAGAGUUAUAAGCUGGUGUGAGUUGCUCUGGAUCAAAGAGACUUGCAAGAUAUGGUGUGGCGUUCACAAGAGAACGAAGAACCAUAGACUGAAGUGUAAAGAAUCAGAUAUGUGAUGUUGUUUUGCAGUUCUGGAAUUGGUUUGAUGCUGGCUGUUUGAGGUGGAGGAUCUCAGGUUAAAAUGUUAAGUCAAGAUCAGACUUAUGGCUACAUAAUCAAAGUCAGUUCAUAGUUUCCUCAGGUUCAAUUCUUGGAGACAAAUGGUCUCAGUCUGCAACAGUCACAAAGUUUUGUUGUGGUGGCUGGAUACUCAUCUACUGCAGUGUAUAAAGAAUGGAAGCUCUCUAAAUCACAAGGGCGGUAUGUUAUCUUUGCAAAGAGUGAUCAAGGCUCAGGUUUGGUGUCAAACUGUUUGUUGGUCAGCUUGUUUGUGGAAGGAAGAUGCAGCUGUGGUUUCAGGAUGUUUGGAAGAAUGGCAGUUGGUGGCAUCUAUGAAUCUCAGGUUUAAGGGACGCUUUAGAAGUGAGUUUGUAUGUGUGUCAAAGGCUGUUCAGAUACUGUUAAAGCUUUCAAGAUUCAAGUUUGAAGUUAAGUUGCAGAGAAGAAUGGUUUCUACAGGUUUUGGAACAAGACAGAUAUGUUAUUUUGAGGAGCUGGUUCAGAUUUCAGAAAGUUUGAGUUGCAGGUUCAGUCACAGAGAUUAAGGGUCAGGUUCUGGUGAAUGUAAGAAGCUCAGGUGGUAAUGAUCAAGGUCAGGAAAAUGAUCAUAAUGGAGCUUGUAGCAGCAAGGAUUGUUUCUACACAAAAGUAUCAAGGCUGUUACAUUUAAUGAAUUUCUUCAGUGCCAGUAAAGUGAUAAAACAGAUGGGAUUCUGUGGUAUAUCACCUGACGUUUUUUCACAUAAACAAACGUCACGGCUUAUUAGAAGAAUGCCUGGAGUCAUCAAGAAAGAAGCAGAAGAAGCAGGAACAUGUUAUGUUUCCAGAAGAAUGCGCCAAGAGAAAAGACAAGAAGUCUAAGAGCAAUGUGAGUAUAUGUUGGAAUAGAGUUUCUUGUGGGAUCAAAGUUGAUAACUUUGGAGGAGUAUGAGUGGAAGAGGCAGCUCGUGGUAGAGGUUUAACUGUCUCACUCAAGGCGUUUCUGCAGAGGGUUAAAAGCGAUGAUUUCUUAAAGAGAAAGAAGGCUGAUAGAAUAUCAGUGAUAAGGAGCCAAGGAGAAGAAACAAGUUUCUGGUUUUAUGGCUCAAGGAAAGGAAAGCAAGGAGUUUGUUUUGCUGGUUGUAGUUCUUUUGAACAUGGAGUUUACAAGUUCAAGUCUUUGCAGGAUGUCUCGGGUCAUUGGUGCUUGUGUUCUGUAUUUUAAAGACACACAAGAAGUUUCAGGAGAUGGAGAAAUCUGAGAGAAACUUCAAAGAAUGAUUGUGAGGACAUGUUAGGAUGAAGGGACAGCAGGAUGAAAGCACAGCAGGCGGCAGUCACUCAAGGUUGUAGCUUUCAGAGGCUAUGAAAAGAAGCUCUAUGCCAAGAUAUAAAGGCAAGAAGCAUGGUGUUACUGAUAGUAAAAUCAGUGGAGUAAAAUCAGUUUGAGAGAAUCUGGUUUCGGGUUUAUCUGUCACAGGUUCUGAUGGGUUAAAUUCAGAAGGGUCUCACAGGGUUUAAAGUGUUAUGUGAAGAUGUUUUGUUGGCAGAGACUAUAACAGGUUGGAGCACAGUCAGUUUGGUGGGAUUAAAAUCAGAUUGGAAAGCUCGGAAGAAGCUGCGACACUUGGUGGUUAUGGUAUUAGCGACUAUAGUUGAAUGGCUGCAAAAUUAAUAUAAUUUUGAUAAGAUCUGAAAUAAAAUUCAGAAGCAAGAAGCCAUGUUUACAGUCAGCUACACAAAGGGGUUAAGUGAAUCAAAGAAGAAAGUGCAGGAUGGUUAUAAGUCUGAGAAGUGAAGCUUCAUGUGAAGAGGAACACGUUGGGGUUUUGAAAGGUUAUUGUUUCAGGUGGAGUCUUGCCUCUACAAGUUUUGUAGUGCACAUCUCUAGAUGUUUUUUGACUCCAGGUGGAGCAGUGUUAUGUUUCAGACAGUGUUCUCAGGUCAACUUCAGUAUGAAAAGGUUUCAGAGGUUCUGCGGAUGAGCUUACAAGAGCUACAGAGAUUCAGGUUGGUUUUGUGAAGCAAGAAGAGUAAAAGAGAGCCAAGCCAGUGUCAGCAGGUUCAAGCUCAACAUGUUAUGGUCAGAUGGAGUAAAAGGGGUUCAGCUUGUGGUCAGAGUUGUGAAGAGGAUAUCGGCAGUGUUAGUAUGGUUUCUCCACAGGAAGCAUGGAGUAAAACGACAUCGAGGCAGAGUCACUGCAGGUAUGAUAAAUCAAUAUAUAUAAAAUACUUGUGAGGUGGUUUUUUGCAGGUAUUCACAGGGACCAGGGAGAACAGUUCAAGGUGGAGCUGUUUGAGUCAAUUACCAAGCUGAACAAAUUCAAAGAGUUCUCUAAGAGUAGCUACAAGGAGAUAAACAGCAAGGUUUGUUGGUACUGUCACAAAAGAGUACAAGAAGGAUUGAGCUACUGGAAAAUGGAGUUCUUGGUAACGUCUGGAACAGGCAGGGGCGUUUAUAUACCAAGGUCUGGUAAGGUUCGCAGGUUAGCGAAGCACAGGUUCUUUUCUACAGCAAAGGUGUCUCAGGAGUUGUCACAGGUUUUGUGAGUAUGAGGCAGGGAUAAAGAAGUCAGCAGUGGUCAGAUUGUUGUCUGAAGUUCUGUUGAGGCAGAUUUGUUUGAACUGGGUUUGAGCAGAGAUCUCUACAUCGAAAGUCUUCUUAACCAGGUUGAGUUAGGCGGCGUGUUCUGCUGGUCACAGCAGCGGUGAAGAGUGAUGUUCAGGUUGAAAGUUCAUACAGAUUGGUGUAGAGGAAAACUUCAGGAUUAGCAGAGAGUUUUUCUACUAGCUGUUGAGGUUGUCUACAAGGGUUUUUUGAGUCAAAGCGCUUCUGGUGUGAGGCAGAAAUGAUUCAAGUUCCGCAGGAGUUUUCAAGCAAGCAUCGUUUCAGGUUUUGGCAGACUAUUGGGAGACCUUAAUUGCAGUAACAAGUCAAGCAUUAUAGGCUGAUCUAUACUAGUCAAAGGAGAAGCUUAUGGAGUGUAUGUUGAGUUACUGGAAUGGGAUUGUGAUUCACAUCACAACAAGUUACAUGUCUGUUCAUUGAUGAUGAUUAAGUGGUUGAAGACUGGGAGUUGUCAAGGUUAGAGCUGGGUUUACAAGGUUCUAAGGAACAGUGGCAAGGAAGUUUUCAGGUUAUAUCAAGACAAGAUGCUGGGAGGAAACAAGUUUCAGGAAACGUUGAAGCUGAGCGGUGAAGCUCAAAGAGACUGCAAGGAGAUGCAGGAAGAUAAAGCAGAUGCGCAUGUUUGCUCAGUCACCGGAGGAAAGCUCAUGAGAAGAUUGGGCUGUAGAAGAUCAAUGCCAAGGUGGAGAUUGUAGAAUUGUGUCAUCAAUCUUCUAAGCCUCUGAGUCCAACAGAAGGUUUGAAUAUGCUGAGUGAAGGAAAGACUCUUGGUCCAGUAGAAGGUUUGCCAAAGCUAAUAACAUACAUGUGAGAAGCACGUGAGUUGGGGCAAUAGGAAUCAUCAUCUUCUGGGUAUAUCAUCGUCAUCUUCUCCGACGGAGAGUUAGUUACAGAAACAGAACGAGAGCUCAAGAUGAGAGAGUGAGAGCGAUUGGGUUGGUGAGAGUGAGCUAGAGAGAGAUGUGAUUCUUGGUAUAUCUAGACUCAUAGACUUGUUCUUCUUCCUCAGUCUUGUAACUCAGAUUAGGUGUAAUCGAGAGAGGAAGAAGACGAGUGAACCUCCGGUGACGUACUCUGUAAUCACAUUGAUUAUAGUGGAUUGGCUGAGAGACCGUUUCUCUCCCCGGUGAUGUAUAGCGGCUUCUCCACAUCGGAGAAGUGCGGUGAACACCGGGUAAACAAAGUCUCGUGUGUUAUUUCUUUAUGCUUGAUUCAUGAUUGAUUAGA